rnacentral:lncRNA from 1 species
GCGUAACACGUCAUCGAGUGUUGCCUGACCAAAUAUGACUACCCAUUUUCGAGAAAAAACCCAACUAAUGCAGAUAUAUAAUUGAAUAUACUGUGUGAGUAAAAUAUUAAGUAAAAAGACAAUGUAAAUGACUACGUUUCAUAUUAUAGCCAAACGGUGCAAAAGCCACAAAGAUUUUCUAGAGAUUAUUUAAUUCGCUGACACUGACUGCGGCUUUUUUUAAAACCCAUUAUUAGAAUUAUGUUAUAGCCUUUAUAAACCUAAUCCAUUUUAUAUAUCUCUUAAUGUUUAAACUGUUUGUACGGUAAAAUAAUUUUGAAUAAUUCGUUCAUAUUUUUCCUCCUGUCGUUAGAAACCAAAAUAAAUUCAACCAUAAUAAUAUCAAAUUCUGUAACUUCAUGUCCUAUCAGCCAAAUAACCUGGUUUAGUGAACCGGCUCACCCAAAUCAUUGAAAAGAUUCACUUCAAAAGAUGAAAUGAUUCGUUAACGGAUCGGACAUCCCUUUAUAGUGCCAUCAACCUCCGCCCAUAAGCUUUGCCACUUCCUCUUCACGUUUAAUUGCCUACAUACUCAAACAGAUGGCACAUCUACCGACACUGAUGGCUGUGGGAAGGAGGAGACCUUACAGUAAGGAUUCUUUAUGGAAAUGACUGGCUGAGUCGCGGUUUCCGUUGUAAAGUGAGGAGCCCGCUGGGAAUGAUUAUCCUCGUUGACUAUAAUGACACAAGCGGCGCUGGGCGUGUAUUCAGUAAUACUUACAUACGUGUUGAAGACCGUUCAUUACAAAAAACGUUUAUACUCCUCCACUGAUGUUCAACUUCAUGAUCAAAACAAACGCACGUCGGACUGCGUCAACCCGACAAGGAUGGUCUGCGAUCUCUUUCUUGGAACUGCAAGGAUAUGAACUGACACCGGGGCUGGACUGACUUUUGUGCUGUGCUCUGCGCAACACAACUUAAAAACCAUACUCAAACUCUCAUACACACAUGAACAGUGAUACUCGUGGUGUUACAAGAGUGGAAAACAGCGUGCCUACUAAUGAUGGUGUAGCCAGAAGAAACAACAUGUCCUUACAGCACAGAUGGCAGGUUUCAUUGGGGAUCUUGCUCGUGAUGGGAGGCCUGGUGCUCUUUACGACUAUGGAUACGUACAUUGUUCUCAUUGGUAUGGCUAUAGUGUGUCUGGGUCUGUUUAUUCUCGUCCAUGCCUUCUGCAUGGUCAUUAAAUCCAGUCAUGUAGCUGUGACCGGUCACUUUCUUCUACACCCGAGAACAGGCACCCGUUACACCCACCAUCAAGCCAUUGCAGUGCAAAGGAGGCUGGAUCGGAUCCGGAGGGCUACGGCAGAAGAGCACAGUUCAGUCCAAGUGCCUCCCACCUCAGACACCAGUCCACAGAGCCAACCUGCAACCCCUCCUCCCUGGCAGAUGGAGCCACCACCAUCCUAUGAGACUGUUAUGAAGACGACUUCAGCUGUAAACCAAGCAUAACCACUUAUUUGACUGUAGACAACGACACAUUAUGGGAUUAUGAAAAGUUGGUCUAAUUGGGGGUGCACAGAUAUAAAAUAUCUGUCAAUCACAGUUAAGCUAGUAAUUAUUUUAAAGGGUAAGUUCACCCCAAAAUUGUGCCAUUAAUUUUUAUUAUAUUUUUUUGCACAAAGGAAACAAAAAUAACAAUUUACUCAACCAUUCUUCUCCCCUGAGUUACUUCUUUUUAUUUAUUUAUUUUAGAGCGUAUUACAAUGCAUAUGCACCGUUUCCCCUAAGUGUAAACAAUGCUUAUAACGCAGUUAUGUUCAUGUGUGCACUUGAACGUAAAUGAUGAACGUUAACAACGUUGAUUAGGUCCAAUAUGUUUUCAUAUAGCUCAGGGGAAAAGAAUGAGUAAAUUGGUAUUUUUGUUUGUUGCAAAACUGAAAUAGAGUCAUUGAUAUCACAUGGACUGUUUUACCCAUGUAUUAACUACAUUUCUGGACCUGGAAACAUUUCACUUGCGUUGCUGACAAUGGAGGGUCAGAUAGCGCUCAGAUUUAAUCAAAAAUAAAUUAUUUUUUUUUGUUCUGAAGAUGAACGAAGGUCUAAAAUGACACGAGAAUGAGUAAUUAAUGACAUCAUUUUCAUUUUGGGGUGAACUAACCCUUCUAAUGACUGAUAACUGAUGAAUGGCCAUAUUAAAAUCUGUUCUAUAUAUAAAUACUAUAAGUGCUACAACUGAAUGUACUGUGGGCAUCAAAACACAGCGAUGUAAUGAAAGAUGGAUAUUUUUCAUGUGCAGUAUGGAAGUUAUUUUUCAAUAACUUUCAUUUUUUAGAUCUGCUACACAAAAAAAAAAGUUUGGCUUGAAUAAAAACAACAAAAACAACCACUUUUUAUGCAUGAACACACAGCUCUGCAUGCACUCUACAAGAGAUGAUGCACUUAAAGGGUUGUUUUUUUAUAUCUCUAUCCUGCAAGUAAUUGCUAUUUUAGAUACAGACUUCAAAAUGUAUCUGAAUCUAAAAGGGAAACUGAACUCAAAUCGUUUUUUUUUUUUUUUUGAUAAUUUACGUCCAUCAAGCGUAUUUCGUAUUUAUGAACAACAUAUAUGCAGAACAAUUUGAAGGAUAUUUAUGUGAACCAUCCUAUAAUCUUGUUUCUCACUUUUUCAUAUCAGUGUUUGUGGAUAGUGAAAUUGAAAACCUAAAGCUUAUUUACUCAUCAUCAUCAUCUGCUUGAGGUCACCGUUGAAGGUUGAUUGUUGUUGAGUUGUUUACUUUCAUUUCUUUUAUUGUAUUUCUCUACAGUGUUUUACUGGGGUCAAAAACAGAAACAUAUUAUUAAAAUAGAUACCAGCCACUUUAAUGAAAUAUGCAUUCAACCGGGAAAAUGAUUUUUUUUAAAUAGGUCAGAUAAAGGGAAUGAACAUACUUUAAUUUGAAGGGACAAUAAGAGAUUAAUUUAAAAACGUUGUUAUUUAAUAUUACAUACACACUACCAUUCCAGUUUUGGGUCCGUAAGAUUUCAAAAACAGUAAUAUUAUGAAAUACUACAACAAAUUAUAACCAUUUUAUAUUUUAAAAAGUAAUUAAUUGCUGUAAUGGCAAAACUGAUUUUUCAGCCGCCAUAAAUCCAGUUUUCAGUGUCACAUGAUCCUUUAGAGAUUAUUCUAAUUAGCUGAUUUGAUGCUCAAGAAAGAUUUCUUAUUAUCAUGAAUGUUGGAAACAGUCAAGGGGCUUAAUAUUUUUGUGGAAACCAUCAGUAAAAUAAAUGUACAUCUUUUUACCGCUUUUAUCAAUUUAAAGUCCCUGCUGAAUAAUGACUUUCUUUAAAAUAAAUAAAUAAUCAUAAAUAAUUCAAUAAAAAAAUAACUCGCCCAAAACUUGAAUGGUUUUGCUGGGCUUAGUGGAAACCCAAACAUGAAGUCAAACUGAACUGAAUAUGAAGGUUAAGAUGCUAGGUUAUGAUUGUAAUGCCACUGAGUACCUCUUUAUUAAUAAGCUGAACCAAAUACUGAAUUGUGCCUUGAUUUGUACUCAUUUUUCCUAAUGACCAGAACAUGUUUUUGAGAAUGAUUUAGACAUUUCUUAGUGUAUAUUAUCAGAUUUUUCUAUAUUAAUGUUUGACUUACUGUACAUUGUUGUAAAAUAUGAAAUUGAGAAUUUUAUUUUUACUUCUCUCUUGAAUGUCACUUUCAUAGGCCUAUAUUUUUUCCUUGUGUGUGUCGUUUUAAUAAUACAUCACAUAAUGCUGCAUAAGUGUGUUUUCAGUUAUAUUUUGUCAGUUACACAUAGUUAGUAUAUCACUAUAACGUGCAUACACCAUACACAAAUACACCAUAUAAUACAAAAACUGUAUUGUUAAUUUGUAUUUGGUAACCAAUAAUCUUAUCGAACCAAACGUUUUUGUGUGUUCUUGUUCUUUAUUUCUCUUCUACUAUAUCAUUAUGAUGCCAGCAUUCCUGGAAAUGAACAUAUUAAGAUUGCUCAAGCCAGUGCAACCUUUACUUAAGGGCAAGUCACCUGACUAAGACCCAUCACAGGUUCAGUGAUCUGAAUCUCAGUCCUCCAGUGAGACCCUUGUGUCUCGUCACUCACUCCUGCCCUUCACCUCUAUCUAUGAGGACACAUUCAUAAAGCUCCACCCACUCACUGGUACUUUCCUCUGUUAACAUACCACCACUGGACUUGUAAGUUUACUCCAUGGCAGAAAACAAGCCGUACCGUUAUGGGCUCAUCAUUCUGGGGAUGGCGUUUGUGGCGUUAGGUCUGUUUCCUGAUGUCUGUAGAGAAGCCACAGGUGUUCGCCACGUUCUGCGCUGCGGGAGUGAUAAUGGUGGUUAUGGGGACUGUUUGGUCUCUGUGUCAGUGUUACCCCAAGGUAAGGAGUGUGGGCUGUUCCCUUUAUUUGGUAGAUGGAUUUCAUGUUUUUCGUUCAUUGCAGAUAAUCAAGCAUGUGCAUAUAAUUUGUCCCUUUGUAGAAUUCAAGGUGACAAAACUAUUUUGGUGUAGCAUUGUAAAUUAAGUUGUCAAAGUAUAAUAUCACAUGUGGGUGUUUCACCUGUCCUACAGGUGACUGUCAUACUGCCAGAUAAAGAUAAACUAUGUGGGGCUGGGUCACGGGACUUGAGUGCUGAGAGCUCAGAUGAAAAAAGGUUAGAGUGAACUCUUCUCAAACUAUUUACAUUUCAGAUAAACUGCAAAAAACAUUGUAAAGCAUACAUUUGCCAGUGGGAAACAAAAUCAAUUCAAGAACCUAUUGUCUAUUUAUGUUAUGUCAAUAAAUGUGGUUCUCUAGUCUAAUUCAAUCUCUUCCUUCUUUCUGUCAUUACAAUGUGUGUCUGUGUGUUUUCUGAGAGCCCAUCAAGAUUCAAGUCUAAGUUCUCUUCCAAUAUAAUCGG